UUUCAUAAUGAAAGCUGUGAAUAAGAACUUGUAAGGUGCUGAAGUGUGGAGGAUCUUUUUAUGAGAGGUUUUUUGUUAUAUGUGAUUUUCUAGUCAUUUAUGUACUGUAUUACACAUUGUGUGCAUGAUAAGCAUUUUUUAUAAUGGGACAUUUAACUGUGACUGGCCAAGUCAUAACAGCCAGGAAAUGUCCACUAUAAGUAUAAAACAAUCUUCUAUGAAGUAUUGAUAAGUAGUAUUUGUUAUUUAUUUGUAUUUAAAGUAUUAUUUUCUGUACAUUGCUAAUUAGUAUUGACAUAGUUGUGAAGUAAAGAUGGCAAAAUGAUAAUCAUUAAUUAUUAGUAACUUAUAUUGGUAGGGGUCUAAGACUGGAUGUUUGUAAAUUUUCAUUCAUUUUGAAUCUGGUGUGUUCCUGAUGUUUUGACAACUCUUCAUAUAGUCAUAUACAUGGAUAUAUUCACCAUUUUUUGUUUCUAAUUAGAGAUUUAACUUACAUUAUGGCCAGUAUUUCAGUCUGAAUGAUUUUUUUUAUAGUCAAUUUUAAAGUCUGGUCAAGUUUCUUUUUUACGUUUUACAUGUAACACAACCAGUUGGGUCUUUCAUGUAUUUUUAUAUGGAAAGGAAGAGUUUCAUAGGAAAUUACAUAAAUUUUAUGUGAAACUGUUUACUUUAUUAUCUCAUUGACUGUUUUUCCACAUGAAAUUCCCAAAGGUUACUUAGUAAAAUUUUCAUUUUAUUAUUUUAUGUGGAAUGCAAGUUAGCCAUGUUUGUAAUACAACUCUGUAACUAAAAAAUAACAGAAAAUGGUAGCACCAUGCAAGGAAAAAUCCAGUAAAUUGUGUUCAUAAUAGACAUUUGACAAUGAUUCUUAAUACAUAUCUUUUUUUACAUAUUGCAAUUGUACCAAAUGAACAAUGGCUUUAGUACUUUUAUAUCUAUUUGUAAAUUACCAGUCUAUUAUAAACUGUUUCACAUUGUUUACCUGUCAAUUUUUGAUGCUUUAGGAUCUCACAAGUUAUAAAAGAUCUUCUAGAACCUGCUGAUAUAUUUCUGUUUUAUAGACAGCUGUGUGUGUGUAUUUUUGUUGCAUUACACUUACAUGUACAGUGUUUGAUGUUUGUAUAAUUGAUGUUAUUUCAGUCUUUGUCAGUGUAUGUCAUAAUACUCCUCUAGUCACAUACUCAGUGAGUGUGCUGCUUAAAUUUUCACAAUGUUGGAAACAAACAGUUUUAAAUUUGGGCAGUGAGUCAUACUUUGUUGUUAAUCUAAGCUAUUUUUUUUUAAAUUCUACUGGAACAAAUGCUAAAGAUUUUGGUAAAUGUAAUGAAAAUGUCAUAUCUGCUAAUUAUCAAAGUCUGCUCUCUCUUUUUUUUUCACUCUAAAAUUAAGAGGUAUUUUUCGUUUUAUUUUUUAUCUAAAAGUGCAUUGUAAGUAGACAAUAUCAAAAAAAUUUUUUUUAUUUGGUGCAUCUGAAUACUUGUAUUGCCAAAGUUUGUUUUCUGCCAAAGUACCUCUAUGUUUUAUUAUGUGUUCAUAUGAUAUUGCAUGCAAUAUGGUUUUUCCUAAUUCCUGAUCAUGAUGUUUCUGUAAACAUGGAAUUGUUGAUGAUGAGGAACAGUAACAAACCUGUUAAAAAAUUAAAACCUAUGAUCAUUGAUAUACUGACUCAGAAAUCUCAUUGUAUGAAAGGAAAAAUUGAAAUAGACUGCCAAAGUGUCCCUCACAAACAUGAAUAGUCAAAUUUUCAAGCCAUCAAUAUAAACAAGUUUCCAUUACAGUGGAAUUUUUAAUCCAUUAAAGAUUAAAAUAGUAUUCUUUUAGAUUGCGUUUUUUAAGGGUAGAUGUACUUACUGUCUUUUGUAAUUCAUUUCAUUACAAGCACAAGGGAAAAUUUUGUAAGUAUUAAGGAUAUACAUGUAUCAAUUUUUUAUAUUAAUUUUGAGAUUUUGAGAUCAAAAUGUUUAUUGGAACAAAGACCAUAAUGAAGUGCAUAAAUUUUUCAAAUGAAUUUACUCCCAAUAUCAUUGUUUUUUCAACAUACAGAUGUAAGACAUCUUUAAAAAAUUGAAAGAAAAUAUUUUAAUGCACUUGUACUGGCUAAAAUAUAAUACGAGUUUGCUACUUAAAGAACAAUAAAACAUGUACAGUUACCUGCAAGUCUUGCCAGAGCUUUAGCAACAAAUGUGAUAUAUGUGAUUGAGCUAGUUUUCUUUUGAUUACAAUGAAAUAAAAUAUCAACAAAAGAAU